rnacentral:misc_RNA from 1 species
AUAUUCGCUCGUAAACCGAACGACUGCGGUCGUUGCCCUGAGGCGUCGGGUCCGUCGGGACCCGCUGUCCUCGUGCUGCGACGGCGUCCGUGAGGAAUGC